rnacentral:rRNA from 1 species
UACGAAGGGGGCUAGCGUUGUUCGGAAUUACUGGGCGUAAGGCGCGCGCAGGCGGUUCUUCAAGUCAGAGGUGAAAGCCCAGAGCUCAACUCUGGAAUGGCCUUUGAGACUAGAGAACUAGGGUACGGGAGAGGUGAGUGGAAUUCCGAGUGUAGAGGUGAAAUUCGUAGAUAUUCGGAAGAACACCAGUGGCGAAGGCGGCUCACUGGCCCGUUACCGACGCUCAGGCGCGACAGCGUGGGGAGCAAACAGG